CCCUUAGAUGUUCUGGGCUGCACGCGCGCUACACUGAAGCGUUCAACGAGUAUUCACCUUGCCCGGGAGGGUUGGGUAAUCUUUUGAAAACGCUUCGUGAUGGGGAUAGAUUAUUGCAAUUAUUAAUCUUCAACGAGGAAUUCCUAGUAAGCGCGAGUCAUCAGCUCGUGCUGAUUACGUCCCUGCCCUUUGUACACACCGCCCGUCGCACCUACCGAUUGAAUGGUCCGGUGAAAUCCUCGGAUCGAGCCGUGGGGCAACUCCGGUUCGAGAAGUUGAUUAAACCUUACCAUUUAGAGGAAGGUGAAGUCGUAACA
rnacentral:rRNA from 1 species